rnacentral:rRNA from 1 species
UACGUAGGCAGCGAGCGUUGUUCGGAGUUACUGGGCGUAAAGCGUGCGUAGGCGGUGUCUUAAGUUUGUUGUGAAAUCUCCCGGCUUAACCGGGAGGGUGCGGCAAAUACUGAGAUGCUGGAGUGCCGGAGAGGUAAGCGGAAUUCCUGGUGUAGCGGUGAAAUGCGUAGAUAUCAGGAGGAACACCUGCGGUGUAGACGGCUUACUGGACGGUAACUGACGCUGAGGCACGAAAGCGUGGGUAGCAAACAGG